rnacentral:lncRNA from 1 species
ACAAGGAAAGAAAGAGACAAAAGUAAUAAAAGCACCAAUAGGACGACCGUGCUGGAGCUCACCCAUCUAACAGAUGUUCCCAUGCCAGCAUCAACCUGGCUUCUCUCACAGCCAGACCGAAAUCAGUCUUUACUUUCCACAUGGACAGGAAGGUAAAUAUUCAGAUAAUGUGCAGAAGAAAGAUUUAGCUGUGAUAUGAUUUGAGGCUCAGGGAGCCUGGAAACAACUGAUUAUUGAAGC